rnacentral:tRNA from 1 species
GGGUGUUGCUCAGUGGUAGAGUGCUUGCCUCGCACGUGUGAGGUCCUGGGUUCAAUCCUCAGUACCACA